rnacentral:rRNA from 1 species
UUGUCACAUGCUUGUCUCAAAAAUUACUCCAUGCAUGUCUAAUUACAAAUUCUAAAACAAAUGAAACCCCAAAGGGCUCAUUAAAUCAUUUAUGAUUUAUUAAAUCGUGCGUUCCACAUGGAUAACUGUGGUAAUUCUAAAGCUAAUACAUGCAAAUGGCCCUGACUUACGGAGGGGCGCUUUUAUUAAAUCAAAAUCAAUCGGGGCAACUCGUUUUUGUGAUGACUCUGGAUAACUUUGUGCCGACCGCAUGGCCUUGUGCCGGCGGCGUAUCUUUCAAAUGUCUGCCCUAUCAACUUUCAAUGGUAGGUGACAUGCCUACCAUGGUUGUAACGGGUAACGAAAAAUCAGGUUUCGAUUCCGGAGAGGGAGCCUGAAAAACGGCUACCACAUCCAGGGAAGGCACCAGGCGCG